GACGAACGCUGGCGGCGUGCUUAACACAUGCAAGUCGAACGGAAAGGCCCUGCUUUUGUGGGGUGCUCGAGUGGCGAACGGGUGAGUAACACGUGAGUAACCUGCCCUUGACUUUGGGAUAACUUCAGGAAACUGGGGCUAAUACCGGAUAGGAGCUCCUGCUGCAUGGUGGGGGUUGGAAAGUUUCGGCGGUUGGGGAUGGACUCGCGGCUUAUCAGCUUGUUGGUGGGGUAGUGGCUUACCAAGGCUUUGACGGGUAGCCGGCCUGAGAGGGUGACCGGCCACAUUGGGACUGAGAUACGGCCCAGACUCCUACGGGAGGCAGCAGUGGGGAAUAUUGCACAAUGGGCGGAAGCCUGAUGCAGCAACGCCGCGUGCGGGAUGACGGCCUUCGGGUUGUGAACCGCUUUCGCCUGUGACGAAGCGUGAGUGACGGUAAUGGGUAAAGAAGCACCGGCUAACUACGUGC
rnacentral:rRNA from 1 species